CCCACCAACUAUUAUUUAUGAAGUCAUCACAGGUGCUCCUGAGAUCAAUCUCCAAUCAUAAUUAGACUGUUUGACAAUUUCCAAGUGAUUGCGAACACAAACCUAGAACUCUCGGGUAUAUUAUCAUAUUGCAUCUGGGUUUAUAAUAUGUUUAGUUAUCAUAACUGAUAUUUAAACUCGCAGAUGUGGUUGGGAAAAUCCAAUAUGUCCAAGGCUCCGACCUUAGCAAAUAAAUAACUCGAGUCGUUAUCCAUCUCCUCAUUGAUCCGUAAGAAACAAUCAGCACACAAUUCCCUUUAUAUUAUUAUCUAAAUUGUGCUAACAUCAAUUAUCAAAAAUAUUUCCUACCCAAAUUGUGUGCUCGUCUAUUUAUCUCCCUUAGUUAUCAAACUAAUUUUACACAAACCUUUAUUUUACAGAUUAAAAGAAACCACAACAACACAAACAAUCAAAACACCAAAAACUAGAAUUUCAAAAAAGUCG
rnacentral:lncRNA from 1 species